rnacentral:rRNA from 1 species
CAGCCGCCGCGGUAACACGUAGGGUCCGAGCGUUGUCCGGAAUUAUUGGGCGUAAAGAGCUCGUAUGCGGUCUGUCGCGUCUGCCGUGAAAUCCUCAGGCUCAACCUGAGGCGUGCGGUGGGUACGGGCAGGCUAGAGUGCGGUAGGGGAGAAUGGAACUCCUGGUGUAGCGGUGGAAUGCGCAGAUAUCAGGAAGAACACCGAUGGCGAAGGCAGUUCUCUGGGCCGUAACUGACGCUGAGGAGCGAAAGCGUGGGGAGCGAACAGGAUUAGAUACCCCCGUAGUCCCUGUCUCUUAUAC